rnacentral:rRNA from 1 species
UAAGAAACCAACAGGGAUUGCCCUAGUAACGGCGAGUGAAGCGGCAACAGCUCAAAUUUGAAAUCUGGCUCUUUUAGGGUCCGAGUUGUAAUUUGCAGAGGGCGCUUUGGCUUUGGCAGCGGUCCAAGUUCCUUGGAACAGGACGUCACAGAGGGUGAGAAUCCCGUACGUGGUCGCUAGCUAUCGCCGUGUAAAGCCCCUUCGACGAGUCGAGUUGUUUGGGAAUGCAGCUCUAAAUGGGAGGUAAAUUUCUUCUAAAGCUAAAUAUUGGCCAGAGACCGAUAGCGCACAAGUAGAGUGAUCGAAAGAUGAAAAGCACUUUGGAAAGAGAGUCAAACAGCACGUGAAAUUGUUGAAAGGGAAGCGCUUGCAGCCAGACUUGCUUGCAGUUGCUCAUCCGGGCUUUUGCCCGGUGCACUCUUCUGUAGGCAGGCCAGCAUCAGUUUGGGCGGUGGGAUAAAGGUCUCUGUCACGUACCUCUCUUCGGGGAGGCCUUAUAGGGGAGACGACAUACCACCAGCCUAGACUGAGGUCCGCGCAUCUGCUAGGAUGCUGGCGUAAUGGCUGUAAGCGGCCCGUCUUGAAACACGGACCAAGGAGUCUAACAUCUAUGCGAGUGUUUGGGUGUCAAGCCCGAGCGCGUAAUGAAAGUGAACGGAGGUGGGAACCCGCAAGGGUGCACCAUCGACCGAUCCUGAAGUUUUCGGAAGGAUUUGAGUAAGAGCAUGGCUGUUGGGACCCGAAAGAUGGUGAACUAUGCUUGAAUAGGGUGAAGCCAGAGGAAACUCUGGUGGAGGCUCGCAGCGGUUCUGACGUGCAAAUCGAUCGUCAAAUUUGGGCAUAGGGGCGAAAGACUAAUCGAACUAUCUAGUAGCUGGUUCCUGCCG